rnacentral:misc_RNA from 1 species
AAGUCGUAACAAGGUAUCCGUAGGUGAACCUGCGGAUGGAUCAUUACCAAUUUAUAUGUUAGUUUGUAUACCGCUGUCAAAGGGGGUUAUACACAACUACUAUGUAAACGUUGAACUAGAUCAAUUGGUGUGGAUUGCUUGGGAAUGGACGAAGCGAUGAGCCUCUUCCGGACAGGCAAGCCCCACACUGAUAACCUUUUUCAUAUCAUUUACUCGUAUAUACUACCACAACAACAAAAAACAAAAGCUAUAAUAGGACUUAUUAACGGCUGAGUGGGUAACAUCCUCGGCUUAAACAUAUAACUAUUACAACUUUCAGCAAUGGAUCUCUAGGCUCUC